UUAACAUCUGCCUGAACUGUAUGAAAGGUUUAUUAGCUACUGCCUAACCCUAACCCUAACCAUACUGCCAAUAUGCUUCAGUCAUUUUUUGACAAGGAAAUAAUAAUUUUAUCACCGCCAGAAUCGUUUGUUUACGUAGUCAGCACUUAAUGUAUUCGGCUGAAUGGACGUCAGUCAUUGGUUGAAAUUACAGAAAUACGACAACUUUAACAUGAAAUAACUUGCGAUGUACGUUUUUUUGUUAAGAAGACUAAGAGAAAAAGAUGUUUUAUAUGACACAUUCUACCAGUGUCCCAAGUUUCAAAGUGUUUCGUUAAGAAAAUACUGGUGCCCCCGUUUUGAACAAGAUCCCAUAUCUAGAUAUGUAUAUGUAACAUACAGAUACUAUGGUGUAUGCUGUGAAUAAUGAUUAUAUUAGUGAGAAUAAUAUCAAUCGUAGUAGUUUGGUGGUAAUGAUGAUUCCGCAGUCACCUAUGUUGAAAAGCAUCUCAGCUGAGAACGCAGUCUUUUUAGGUGUUGGUAAGAACUGCAUUAUCUAACAUGCUCUUCGCUUAUGAAUGACAGUAGGCGCUCUUUUGAAAGAGAUUGAACUGCUAAAGCAGGUUGGUUGUCAACGUAGAGGCCCUCUAGUAGUCGUCGUCGUACUAGUAGUUAUUUAAACCCAGGCAAACCUUGGUCAAAGCGCUCCGACCAUGACCAUUCCAUCAUGUUUUAUAUUUCUGAUCGCUUAGUCCUUUAUGUGCUUUGAUAUAUAAGGACUAUUUGAGGAAAAUUAGGUUGCUAUACCGAGCAAGCGGAGCGGCUACGCACAGGAGUCCUCGUAAGGACGGUGCUGAUGAAGAUGGUGAUGAUGGCGGGGAUGGUAAUGACGAUGAUUAAAACAGACGUGAAAAAGAGAUGUUGUGAACUAUGAGCGGGUAUAAUAAAGCGGAAGAAUAAGAAUUAUGCUGUUUAUGACUAAUUGUAUUGUGGACGGGUACUGUAUAUGUGUGUAGCCACGUGUGUAUGUGUGUGAUCAAUCGGAUUAGAGUGUAAGAAAAAAUGAAAGAAUAAUUAAAAAUAAGCAGUCAGUAAUGUAGUAAGCAAGUAAGAAACACAGAGAAAGGCAGAGAAAGAGAGAGAAAUAAAAAGGAGAGGAAAGAAAGACUGUAAACGAAUGAGGAUCGGCUGCGAAAUCUAAUAAUAUUGCCCGUUUCCAACUGAAUUGUCAGCACAACGAGGAGGAGGGACUAAAGAAGGAUGGGAGACGGAGAAAGCGAGAGAAAAAGAGAGAGAGGUGUGAAGUGGUGUCAGAGAAAGAAAGAGAGAACGAAGUCGGUGAUGUAGAGAGUGAGAGAUAAAAUAAAAGUGGGUAGUCGGGGAGAGGUAGGAUUAACUGCUAUAUAAACGAGGUUUCACGCACUGACGUCAGUAUUCAAACUCACGAAAGAUACCUCAUAUCUGUGUGAGCACGAACGUGCCGCUGUAAUUUACCAGCCCCACAAAAUCUCUUUAAUUCUUCACUUCGACUGAAAAGACAUCAAGACAUCAUGAGGGAAUGUAUCAGUAUUCAUGUCGGACAGGCUGGAGUCCAGAUUGGUAAUGCCUGCUGGGAA